rnacentral:rRNA from 1 species
UACGUAGGGUCCGAGCGUUGUCCGGAAUUACUGGGCGUAAAGAGCUCGUAGGUGGUUUGUCGCGUUGUUCGUGAAAACUCACAGCUUAACUGUGGGCGUGCGGGCGAUACGGGCAGACUUGAGUACUGCAGGGGAGACUGGAAUUCCUGGUGUAGCGGUGGAAUGCGCAGAUAUCAGGAGGAACACCGAUGGCGAAGGCAGGUCUCUGGGCCGCAACUGACGCUGAGGAGCGAAAGCAUGGGGAGCGAACAGG